CUAAUAACGAUGAUAGGGAAUAGUAAAAGAAGAAUGGAAAUGAUAGAGAGUUGACGGCUGGUGCAAGUCAACCCAGACUUUUUUGAACUCACCCUUUAGUUGCAAGUGUGAAUCCAGUAAUGCUUGCCGUUCGCCGCGUUAAGGUUUGUUUCCGAGUGAAUGCGAUCUUUGCAUUAAUCAGGGUGGUACCGCGGCAGGUUUAAAUUGUUAAUAACCUUUCGUCCCUAAU
rnacentral:ncRNA from 1 species